AUUUUGGGGAAAUUUUAUAUCAAUCAAAUAACAUAACCUUACAAGUAAAAAAAAAAUCUAAAAUUACUAAAUAAGGCAACCAAGAGAGUAUCAAUUGCUAAAGACCUAUAUGCCUAUUUUUUUCAUUUGAAUAAAAAUUUUUAUUAUGAGAAUCAUCUACUUAUAUAGACAAAGAAGGGAAAAUGUGAACUUUCAGGACAGUCGAACCCUGAGGAAGAGAUAUAGUCUUGCUUAGAGACCCAACUUGUUUCCUAGAGUUGGAGCUGGGAUAAGGACUCCAGUUUCUAAAAGUCAACAUCAAUGUCAACCAUGGUCACAGCUAAACCUCCUAGUAUGAGGGAAUGGUCCCAGCUAAUGUGUCAGUUGGAGAGUACAGUGAAAAGGUAAAAGUGAUUCCUUUUUCAUCAAACACCAAUUCUAUAAUGAACAUACACAGGAGGUAGCAAAGAGCAAAAACCAGAACAAAAAAAAAAAUCAAAAAAAUCUUAUUUAUCCAAGUAAAUAGCAAAGCAGAAAUCAGAGACAGUUUAUAUAGGAGAAUAUAUACCAGAUAAUACAGAAUGAAGGAAGUCUCUCAUUGGGAGUGAAUUAACAGCUCAACUAAGAGUACUAGAUUUCAUCCAAAGGGAAGUCUCUGGGGUAGCAAAUUGGAGAAAGAAACAUGACAGACUGCCAGCCCCUAAUAGUCUUUUUCUUCAGCCAGCUGAAGUGGGGCUGGCCUCCUAAAUCUUCUCUAGUACUCAGCCUGAAGAGAUUGAAAAGCCUGAAGAAACUUCAAAGACUUUUCUCCUCCUCUUCAACUUCCCAGGUGCAGGCCAGUGACUUCCACUAAUGAGGAGGAGUCUUAUACCAAUAGACUUUGGGACUGCUUACAUAAGACUAGGGGGCUGGGAGAAAUCAGCAGGCUGUAGUCACUUGCUCUCCUCCUGGGCUAUAGUCACAUGGUAUGGCAUAACUGAAGCUAGAAAUGCCAACCAUAUGUACGUCCUAAGUGGUAGCCUUUGGGGGAUUUCUCACUUCUGAUUAUUUCCAAAGAGAUGUUUUUUGAACUUUAGUAUCUAACACAGUGCCCCUCCCCAAGCCCAUAAGUAUAGUUAAAAACUCCUUUUCUAGGUCAUGUAUUCACAAGGAUCAAAACAUGAACAAGGUUAUUUAGCAGUUAAUGGAGAGUGCUCUUGUAAAUCUUGUAAAGUCUAUAGAAAUCAGAAAUACUCAACAGUAAGCAAUUUUCUUCCAAUUCCCAUCCUAAAGGGUCUUUUGAUCCUGGGCCAAUUUCCCUUGGGUAACUAGGAGGGGAUUAUUUGCCACUAUCACCUAGACCCGCUGCAUUAAAAAAGUUAACCUCCCUCAGAUUUUUUUUUUUUGUUUUUGUUUUUGUUUUGUAAAACCAAAAACAUGUUUAUUUUAGACUGUGUCCUAUAGACACAACCUAAGUCACGAAAAACUCCACUAAGUUUUGAUACAUAGUAAUUUGAUCAAACUCUAGUUUUGAAUUUAGUUUUGGUAAUUUUACUUUGCCUUCAUAAAUGCCCAUCUAGUCUCAACAAGAUAAAGAGCAAGUAUGAAUAUAGAACAGAAAGUUAUUUCCCAUCAACACUUUCCUGUUUAGCAGGAAUGUAAACUUGUGUGGAAUAGGAACAUUGUCCAUUUUUAUGGUACUUAAUAGUACCUUAAAAAUAUUAUUUUGAGACUGACUCUAUGACCCUAUGGACUUGUUUGUGGUGUUUCUUGGUGAAGAGAAUACUGAAGUGAUUUGCCAUUUUCUUGUUGAGUGUGCGAAUAGGCAAAUAGGAGUGAAGUGAUUUGUCUAGGGUCACUCAGUAAAUGUCUGAUGAUGAUUUGAACUCAAAUCUUCCUGACUCCAGAACUGGUGCUCUAUCCACUGCACCACGUAGCUGCUCAUCUUAAAAACAGGACACUUAAAAAAAAUCUACCCUGCCCCAAAGUAUCUACUUAAGCCACUUUUCCUUUUAAUACUUUCUUCUUCCUCAUGUUCACCAGAACCUCCUCCCCCACCCCAACUUGGCCUCAUUAAAAAAUUAUGCUUGUAUGUAUCCUUAAGGUGUCUUUUUCUUUACCUUAUUCCCUGUCAAAACCAGCUUUCAAUAAGCAUACUAUCACUUGGAAAGAUGCUGAAAAAUGAAUUUACACUAAGGUUUAACAGAAACUGCAUGUUUUUCAGGAGUUCUGAACAUUUUCUCAGUGACUUAGCACACAGAAUGAAAUUUAAAAUUCUUAUAUUGGAUCUCAGACAUUGGACCAAUAAAAGGCACUUUAGAAUUGGAGGCUCUAAAUCUAAUUGAAUAAGCAGGGGCUUAUUAUUUCUUACCUGCUAGGUAAGCCUUGAUGGCAUAUGUAAAAUGUUGAUUAUUAUGUAACAGAAGAGGACCAAAAUGACAUCACUAUGUCAGGGUCAAUGUACAUUGAGUCUGACUGGUACAAACUCCGAAGGUUUUAUUACUGAUAUGAACAUUUGGAAUGGAAAUAUCUCUAAAUGUGCACAUCUCACUUUCUUUUGAGCUACUGAAAUUCUGCUCACGGAGUACAGCUUCUUCUUUGAUUGGGGCAUGCCAUGCUGGGCAAUCCUGUGCCAAUAUUUCUCAUGUCUCACAACUGAUUCCAAAUGCAAAAUGUUACUGACAAAUUAAACAUAAAUAAAAGACAAAUUUGUUGCCCUUCAGGAGAAUACAUUUUGACUAACAGAACUACAAGAUUGUGGCUCCAAUUUAUUUUGCCUAAAGAUGAUACUUCUGCUUUUAAGGUGCUAAGUUCUCAAUUAGCAUUUAUUAAGUACUGCUACAAAUCUGGCACAGUGCUAAAUUCAAAGGAUACAGACAGCCCCUAGUCUCAAAGAGUUUAUACUCCAAGGGGGUGCAGACCAUUACUUACAAACGAGACAUAUAGAAGAUAAAUAGGGGAAUCUCAGAUGGACAGUGCUACCUUUCCUGAAGGGUGAGAUUAGCAGUUUUAGCUAGCUUUAUUCUUGUCCAAUCACCACAACUUGCCAGUAUCGUCCGUAGGGUUUUCUUAGCAAGAAUAUUGGAGUGAUUUGCCAUUUCCUUCUAUAGUGGAUUAAGCAAAUAAAAGUUGUGACAAGCCCGGGUUCACAUAGCCAAGUUAAGUGCCUGCAUCUGAAUUUGAACUUCGGGUUUGCUGGUCCAGCCUUCUGUCCCUGAAUCGCCUUGCUGCCCCGCUCCCCUUAUCUACCUUUGCUAAAUUUAGGCUUUGAUCCUAAGUUCUCUGACUGGGGUUAGACAUUAUAUGUUAAGUAUUGUUUACGUAUAAACUGGACCACCACUUGAAGCUAACCCAUACACACUGCAUGAUCCUAGGGCAGUCCACUGCACAUUCUCCAAGUGCUUCAUUUGACUUUUUUUUUUUUUUUUUAAUCUCUAUUUGUUAAAUCACCAAUUAUAAAAGUUUGUGGGUUUGUUACCGUCACGUGCACGAUGUAAAGUCCGUGCUUUGUCUGGCACCUCACGACCUUAAUGCAUUUGAAAAAGUCCAUCCAGUUUUGUGAAGCAGAAAACCUGGGUGGGCCUUACGACUAGAGAGCCCACCUAAGAAAACUCCCCGCCAGCUUGAAUUCUCUUUCCUCCUGGCUCCCCGCCACGUGCCUAUUUGCCAAUGUUGGUACUACUUCUGCAUCACUAGUCAGUAGCUUACGCUCUAAAAGACCGCGGCUCUUUUCGGAAUGCAAAGUGACGGUUUUGAAGCGAGGCUUUUCCUUAAAGAAAAAAUAAAAAGCACCCACCCCCAAAUCUCAUUAUAUAUAGGCUGGUCCCCCUUGGGAUCACUUGAGUCACAUUCGGAGGAGGAGGGUGCCUGGCAAAUCAGUUGGUCAAAGAGGUUUACAGAGCCCAGUGUGGGGCCAAUGGACCCCGCCCAACAUCUGUCAACGGACUUUGCUCCUCUUCCCGCCCGUCGCUGGCCUGACAGCUAGCCGGUCUGGCCGCUAUUACAAGUUCCAAGGUGCACUGCGUUUCGGCUGCCCCGCGGGAGACUCCAACUCCCAGCAUGCCGCACCUGCAAUGGCGCGGUCUCCGUAUCCUGCCUGUCUGGAACACUGCAUGCUGGGAGCUGUAGUUUUUGAGAGCUCUUUCCCCAAGUCGUUUACUCUGCCUAGAAGGUGCUACCUCCGUUCUGACUGCCUGAUCCCGCAGCGAGGGGAGGGAAGAGCCUACUUCUGAUCUUCAGUCACGCAGCAAUAUUCCCUGCCCACCUCCCCCUCGAUCCUUCUACUUUCAAUGACAGUCCCGGCAACGUUUUAGGUCUGGAAAUCUGUAGAGCAGGCGGGAGCACGCAGGCGCGUGAAGGUCCACGCCGCGCUAAGGCUCCAAGGGCGGGGCGGGCGAAGAGGAGGUACAGGCCUCCGCGGUGGCGCGCACGCCGCACGCCGGGGCGCGUCACGUGGGACAGCGAGGAUCGCAGUGCGCGUGGCCGCGGUGGCUGGUGUGGGGUUGAGUCAGUUGUUAGUUGGGGGGGGGAAGCGACGGUCGUCAGACUGCCCGACCCGCUGGCUGAAGCAGGAAGCGAGCGAGUGGUGAGCCCAGGCUGGUGACUGUGCCUUUCUCGGAGUCCCGGCGCUUCGCCAUCUCUCCUCUCUCCCCCUUCUUCGGCUCCUCCCACUCUCCCUCCUCUGGACAACCCCCCCUCCCCCCCACCCAGGCAAACCGCCGCCUCGGGCGCGCCCCCGCACCCCCUGUGCUGUCUCUCCGAUGGCGGCCGCUGCCGGGGCCAUGGCAAAGCACGAGCAGAUCCUGCUUCUCGACCCGCCCACAGACCUCAAAUUUAAAGGUAGGUAGCGAGGUGGGCCUAGAUGAAGCUAGUGGGGAGAGAGACCGUCAGCUUCCCGCUUCGGGUCCCUUCAUCUUUUUCUUGUUUUUGGUGGGGGUGGAGGGCUUGGCGAGGGGGAAGGAGCGUCGUCCGUCCCUUCUCCCCGUUUUCCAUGUUUCUCUCCCCUUCUCCAGCUCUCUUCUCGCCUUUCUCGGCGUCAGCCUUUCCUCCCUUCUCCCCUCCCCCGCCCGUUCACACUCACACUCAGUUUCACGCGCGCGCACGCCCAGCUUGUGGCGGGGGCUGAUGGGGGGGGGGUGGCAGUGGAGGAGGCCGCGGCCGAGGGAAGGAAAGGCGAGCCGAGCUUGGGGUGCCGGGACCAGGCGCCUUGGCCGCCAUCUUGGGAUCCCGCCGGGAGGCAGCUUCUGGGUCUUGGGUUCCCGGCAGUCCUUUCUUCUCCCUCCUUUGGCUGUCUCCUGCCCUGACAUUCCUUCUCUGCCCCUCGGGACUCGUUGGGGUUUUUCCGGGACGGGCGGGGGAGGCGGCUCCGCAGAGUGUGCGCCGGGGGGCUCCUGCUGGGUCCGGGGGUGGCUCAGUCAGGCUCCCGCGGGCGCGGGCUCCAGGCAGUUCUUCUGGAGCCUCCGGGACUCGCUCGGCCUCCUCGGAGCUCGGCGGAGCCCCUGGUCCUCCAGGUUUUGGGGUCCGCUGUUUGUCGGGCUGGUAACUGCCUGUGAGGCCGACCUACGCUGCUUGCCUGAACCAUUCCCUCGGAGGAGCCUCCUGGGACGAGGGGGAGAGAUGCUCGUUAUCCCGGUUAUGGUGGUAGAGAGCCGAGCGAAUCUCUCAGCGCUUGGGGAGAGGCUUUGGUGUGGAUGAUUCUUGACCUCUUGCCCCUUCACAGAUGUAGUCACUACAAAUCUUAAACUUCGAAACCCAUCAGACAGAAAAGUAUGUUUCAAAGUGAAGACAACAGCACCUCGUCGGUACUGUGUGAGACCGAACAGUGGAAUUAUUGAUCCAGGGUCAACUGUAACUGUUUCAGUAAUGCUACAGCCUUUUGACUACGAUCCAAAUGAGAAGAGUAAACACAAGUUUAUGGUACAGACGAUUUUUGCACCAUCAAACACUUCAGAUAUGGAGGCUGUGUGGAAAGAAGCAAAACCUGAUGAACUCAUGGAUUCCAAAUUGAGAUGUGUAUUUGAAAUGCCCAAUGAAAAUGAUAAAUUGAUUGAUAUGGAACCUAGCAAAGCUCUUCCACUGAAUGCAUCUAAACAAGAUGGACCCAUGCCAAAACCACAUAGUGUUUCACUCAAUGAUACUGAAACAAGGAAACUAGUGGAAGAGUGUAAAAGACUUCAGGGAGAAAUGAUGAAAUUAUCAGAAGAAAAUCGACACCUGAGAGAUGAAGGUUUAAGGCUCAGAAAGGUAGCACAUGCGGAUAAAGCUGGAUCAAGCUCAGCCAUGUCUUUCAGAGAGAAUGUCACCAGUCCUCUUCCUUCACUUCUUGUUGUAAUUGCAGCCAUUUUCAUUGGAUUCUUUCUAGGCAAAUUCAUCUUGUAGAGUGAAGCAUGCAGAGUGCUGUUUCCUUUUUUUUUCUUGACCAGAAAAAGAUUUGUUUACCUACCAUUUCAUUGGUAGUAUGGCCCACAGUGACCAUUUUUUUUUGUGUACAGCGUCAUGAUAGGCUUUGCCUUUAAUGAUCUCUCACGGUUAGAAAACACAAUAAAAACAAACUGUUCGGCUACUGGACAAAUUGUAUAUUAUAUCAGAUCAUCAAUAGCAGGUGUCAGUUGCACAUUCAGUCCUUUAUGAAAUUCAUAAAUAAAGAAUUGUUCUUUGUGGUUUUAAUAAGAGUUCAAGAAUUGUUCAGAGUCUUGUAAAUGUUAUUUUAAUAAUCCCUUUAAAUUUUAUCUGUUGCUGUUACCUCUUGAAAUAUGAUUUAUUUAGAUUGCUAAUCCCACUCAUUCAGGAAUAUGCCAAGAGGUAUUCUGUGGGGAAAUGGUGCCUCUUACAGUGUAAAUUUUCUCCUUUACCUUUGCUAAUAUCAUGGCAGAAUUUUUCUUAUCCCUUGUGAGGCAGUUGUUGACUUGAGUUUUUCAUCCUUACAAUCCUGUCCCAUGGUAUUUAACAUAAAAAAAAUAAAACUGUUAACAGAUUCUUGCUGGGUAGCCUGUUUGUGUCUCUUAUAUCAUUAGAAGGGGAUACCUAAGAAGUGUUUUGUGUAUAAUAAUUUGAGACUAAUAAUGCAUUCUCUCAACACUCAACCCCAUGUAUUUGACUUAUUCUGAUAUUUGUAAUUAAAUCUGGAAGGAAAAAAAAACACAAAAUGAAAUCUGUUCUUAGAAGGAAAAAUGAUGAAUUUUGAUGCUGCUUUUAGUAUUAUGGAUGAUGAUAAUCAAAAAUAUCUUCACCAUGAUCAUUUGAAACACACAAAAAACUAUAGGGAUUAAAGCAUUUUAAUUAUAGUAAAAUUGCAUAUGUUUAAAUGUCUAUUGCAUUGAAUGUACCACUGUCCUAUCAGUUUUUUUUUUUUUUUUUUUUUUGGUGUCUUCCUGAAGGAGACUAAUUCUCCUUAAUUCUAAUCAAGUACUUUUAAACCAAGAUAAUUAUUUUUAUCAAAUUUAUAACUUAUUUUAAAAUAUUAAACUAGGUGUAUUUUUUCCCCCAGUUUUACAUACAAAAUAAAUUUCCACAAUGGAAAGUUGAUGUUACUGAGCAAGUCUUAAAUAUUCCUGAAAAAUGAUUUAACUACUCUUUGCAAAAUUUAUUUGUUAACCGUGUAAACCAUUUUCAAUUUAAGAAUGCAUUUAGGGGUCUGUUACUUUUCUGCACCUAGUCUUGCUUCAUUUCAUUUAUACUAAUUGUAGGUAAUAAUAGAAUAAGAGAACAGUGAUUGGAUAUAAAUGUAAGGUAGCAUAUUUGAAUCUUAAUAAAUGAAUAUGUGUGUGCUUUUUAAAAAUGUGUCUAAGUGAAAAUGAAGCAUAUUAGUCUUCCUGGCCUGUGGGACUUGAUGUGGUGCAGUGAAGUGUAUCAGAUCCGGUUCUAAAUGCACAUUUUAUAAGUUAUGAAAUGUUUUAGAGAAAACAAUAUUUUGGUUGAUUUCUAGUUUUCUUCAAUGGACAGAUCCACAUGUAUCAUGUUAUUGCUGUCUCUGGUAACUUCUUGCCUGUGUACAAAGACAUCUAUGAAACAUAUGAGUAAUGCUUACCUUUUGCCAUUAGCAUGCAACCACACAAGAUCCUUCCAUGGUGUAUGCUCUAUUGUCUUUGUAGAAGUUUCCUCCCAUUCUUAUAACUGGAAAAGCAUGCUUACGAGGCUUACAUUUUCUUUACGUAAAUUUGAAAACAUAAUCCCUUGGCCUAAAGUUCUGUUUUUAACUUUAAAUUGAUGACAAACUCCCCCUUAAAAGUUAAUGUCACAAAGAAUGCAGUGAAACUUUGUAGGUUAUGGAAGAGAAUUAUAAAUCUUUGAAGAGAGCAUUGAAAUAAUUUAAAUCCCUUCAUUUUAUAGAUGGGACAACUAAGCCCAGGGGAGGUAGUUACCUAAGUCCAAGGUCAGACAAAUUAGAUCCCCUAGAAGAAAGGUGGAUUCUGUGUCAAAAGACUGAGAUCUCCCAAUUCCUAGGCUAGUGCUGUUUCCAAUACUUUAGUAAACAGUGAUUUCAUCACAAUGGGAGAGAAGAACUAAAAUAAUUAGUGUGAGAUUCUAUUUUAAUGGGUAUAUGUGUAAUUUCAUAUUAAUGGUGGGAUUGUAUUACAGAUAUUUUUGUUUAAUAGAUAUAGGUUUGACCUCAAUGCUUAAGUUUUAGGAAUGGCCAUAUGACAUGGUAUCAAAACUUAUGAAAUUGAAUCUAUUUUUAAAUGGCUAUUAUACAAGAUUGAAUACAUAGGGGGUGAUCAUGCACUAUUAUGUGGUUUAGGAAGCAUCAACAAAAUAAAUGUGCACGUAGGCAUUUUAACCCAGUCUAUAUACCACAAGGUGCUUUAAUAAUGUUGGGGGAGGGUGAGGCUGUGACUUGGUUUCUAGUAAACGCUUUCAUAGCUGUAUAAAAUGUAAUGCUCAUUUAUUUUGCUAUCAGGAGUCACCUUGAAAAAGUCCAACUGUUUAGUAAAUAAGAGAAUAUGGAUUAAAUUGUUUGUCUUUGUUCCAUACAUGUUUAGUUUUUUUUUUUUUUUGUUUUUUUUUUUUGCUUUGCCUGCUUACUUGUGUAUGUAAGCAUGGGGAAAUACAUCAUUACUAAUAGUUAGACUUACAACCAAGUGACUUAAGGCCUUAAGUUCAUGUUAUGCUAAAUGCACUACUUUCAUUCUUUCUAAAACUAAUGUACCCUAAUUUUGCCCAUUUUCUUGUAUUUACAAGAAACAUAUGAUUUGUAUUCUGAGUGUAUAGUAUGUUUUAAAAGUUUUUUAAAGAUGAAAUGGCACUUAGGAAAAAAUGUAGUAUAAAAGAUUCAGAAAUCCUGGAAAAUGAAAAAUAUAUUCUUAAUCCCUGAAGUAGUUUAGAUCAGUAUUUACCUUGUGAUUAAAAUUGGUAUUAUCUGUUGAAGGGGCUGUUUUAGAAUGUGAUCUUUCAAAAUGUGCCACUUAGAAAAAAGUUUUUGACAAGACAAAAAUAUUCUUGUGGAAUACAUUGCAAAAUUGUACUCAUCACUUUUAAAUGCUUUCAGUUAAUAGUAUGCCCAGAGCUUUUCACACCUAUUAAGUGAUCUUGGUGUGUGCAGUUAAAAAAAAAAAAUAAUUUGCCCUUUGUCAGAAUUAUAGGUAGAGAUAAAUGCUUAUAACAGAUGGAAAGCAACAAAAUAAGUAGGUAAUGAAUCUUUAUUUUCUAGCUUCCGGGGGGUGGGGUGGGUAUCAAACAACUGAGUGAGAAUAAAUAAACUAUUAAAAAUAGUGGUGGAGUCUCAUUUUCCUUUUUUAAAGAAAAAAAUUAAACAAAACCUGAUUAUUUACUGCUUCUAAAGAUGCUUGAUUAGUUGCAUUCCUGAAAAAUAAAGCUUAUGGUCCAAACUAUUGUUUAUAAUUUUCUAGUGAGAAAGCCAUUUGUGUGUGGGGGAGGGCAAGAAGAGAAUGGAUUUUAAAGAAGGGAAUGGAGAAGAAAAAUAUUUCUCUAAUUCUACCUCUAGUAAUAAACCUAAGAAAAAAUUUUUUUUUAAUCUCAGAAAAUCUUUCUGAGAAUAUUUUACUACUCUAGUGACCUGAAUUUUGAGGUGGCUUAGUCUCUUUCUGAAGGUAGUGUGAUUGUUGACCAGACAAGAGAAUUCUUGGAAUUUGGGGGGGGGGGGUAAAAAAAAAAUGAAGUUAUUAUUAUUAUUUUUUUUAUUGAGACAUUUUAAAUUCCCAAAGGUAGUGUGAUGAUACUUGGCUGGAGAAGAGGUUUCUUGCUAUUUAGGGGCAAAAAAUAAAGUUAAUAUUAAGACCCUUUUUACAUUGUCAAUGACAAACUUAAAAUGAUAAAAAUUAAGAAUAAUAUAAUUGACUAACAAGUAACUAAGUGCACCUUUUAAAGUUAUUUAAGAUAGAUAUUUGAGAUUUUACUCCUCACAGUGAUGACAGCACAAGUUAUGUAUAAUAGUAAACAUAGCUUUGGAGUUGGGAAGACCCGAGUUGAAAACCUAAUGAUACUGAGUGACUGGGAGUAAGUCUUACUUUUAGUCUCCCAGGUAAUUUAUGUAGUCUUUUGCAGAUUUGGCUUGUUAAAGAGUUUGUUCAUCAGUUCCUUAUAGCAGUAAAUUCUCAGAUCUACCAUACUACUCCUCUUUCACACUACGUCUACCCAUAAAACUUUGCUUCCUACACCCUGCUGUAUUUUUAGGAGUUUUUUUUUUCCUUAAAAAUCAAAUCUUGUAAGAAAUUAAGGAUUAUUUACUUUUGUAAUAGCAGUUUUGUUUAAAUUGAUGAUUUGUAUUUCUAAUGUAUAGGAAGAAGGGUGGUUUAUAAUGAAAGUAUUUGGAAAUAAAUGCAUUUUAGAGUUUGUACUUAAGAAAAUCAUUAAGUACUAUUUUUUACCGUCAUCUUUAUGUAAUGUACAAGCAGACCAAAUUGAUUUCCAGAGUCUAUUUUAUUUCAUGUUAUUUCUUUCCCCUACUUGUAUAUUUUUCAAAACCUGGUACUUAAGAUUUUAAAGGUAAGCCUCAGCAUGUUGGAUUUUGUUAAAAUGAGUCUCUUCCCCCCCUUCCCCAUUGUAAUUUCAAAUUAAUCUUCACCUUUGUAGCAAAAGUUACCAUGUUUUUCUAAUACUUUUAGGUUCCAAACUAAAAGUAGGAAUAAUUCCCUCUUUAUGAGAACACUGGGGCCUAAUUUUCACUCAUAUUUGUCCAUUGGCUCCUUCCCCCUCUUUAAAAUUGUCAAUAAAUUAUCAUCCUGAAGAAAAAGCUCAAAGUAAAAGUGCAUAUUGUCAUGAAGUACCAUAAUGUGGUAUCAAAGAAUGAGAUUUCUGGAAUUAUUUUUAAGAAAUAGAGGAAGAAAAAAUUGGAUUGGAAUCUAAUCCAGAGUUGUCAGACAUGAUGCACAUAAUGCUGUGAACACUCCUGACCUAGGUUAAAAUCUAGUUCCUAAUAGAUUUUAAUGAAAUGUGUGUGUAAAAUUUUUUUAAAGUCACUAUGUAUCCUGCAGAAAUCUUUGUGGUUUAGUGGCAUCUUUGUAUUUUGAGUUCUACAUCACUGGAUUGGGUAACCUUCUGAGGGUGGUUCUUAAUAAAGUUGUGAUUUCAUGAUUAUUUGAAGUAAUUCACCUCCCCCUUAGAAUUAGUGCCUACAGUGGCCUAAAAAAUGCACUGAGAAGUGACUUUGAGUAAUUGCUUAUGAAGGACUUUUAAAGUUUACACACUAUUUAGUGCAACAGUGCUAUAUGAAGUCAUUAUCCUUGUUUUGUACUUGAAACGAAAAAUCAAAUGGUAGAUGGCAGAAGCAGGAAUGACCUUUUCCCCCUUAUUUCCAUUUAGUUAGAAAUCAUUAAGGACACUACAAACUUUAUUUUUUAAAAAAUUUUUAAAUUUAUAGCUUUUUAUUUACAAGAUACAUGCAUGGGUUAUUUUUCAGCAUUGACAUUUGCAAAACCUUUUGUUCCAAUUUUUCCCCUCCUUGCCUCCACCCCUUUCUCCAGAUGCCAGGUAGACUAAUACAUGUUAAUUAUGUUAAAGUAUGUUAAAUACAAUAUAUGUAUACAUGUCCAUACAGUUGUUUUGCUGAGAAGAAUUGGACUUUGAACUAAUGUACAAUUAACCUGUGAAGGAAAUAAUGCAGACGGACAAAAAUAGAGGGAUUGGGAAUUCUAUGUAGUGGUUCACACUCAUUUCCCAGAGUUUUUUCGCUAGGUGUGGCUAUUAUUGAACAAAUGGAACUGAUUUGGUUCAUCUCGUUGAAGAGAGCCACAUCCAUCAGAAUUGAUCAUGAUAUAGUAUUGUUGUUGAAGUAUAUAAUGAUCUCUUGGUCCUGCUCAUUUCACUUAGCAUCAGUUCAUAUAAGUCCAGGCCCUUUUGAAAUCAUCCUGGUCAUUUCUUAUAGAACAAUAAUAAUCCAUAACAUUCAUAUAUCACAAUUUAUUCAGCCUUUCUCCAAUUGAUGGGCAUCUACUGAAUUUCCAGUUUCUGGCCACUACAAAGAGGGCUGCCAUAAACAUCCUUGCUCAUAUAGGUCCCUUUCCCUUGAAGAUCUCUUUGGGAUAUAAGCCCAGUAACACUGCUGGAUCAAAGGGUAUGCACAGUUUGAUAAAUUUGAACUUAGUUCCAAAUUGCUCUCCAGAAUGGCUGGAUGAAUUCCACCACCAAUGUAUCGAAGGACACUACAAACUAGGCAAUACUAUUUAGACAGGUGAAACAUGACUAUUAAGUAGAGUAUACAUGUAUAUGUAUUUGUCCAUAUGUGUAUAUACACACAGUUUUAGGAAAAAGUGUUAUUGAUUUGGGGAGUCAGAAAAGGCCGCCUACUAGAUAGCUAACUAAGUCUUGAAAGUGUAUUGGGAUUUUAAGAGACAGGUAGAGGGGACAGCCUAAGGAGCUAGAAAUGUCAUAUGAGGAUCAGCAAGUAGACCAAGUUGGCUAGAAUAUAGAGUAUAAAAGAUGUGUUAGAUUAAGAUGGGUUUUAAAUGCCAACUAGAGGAAUUUGUAUUUUAUCUUUGAGGUAAUAGAGAAAAGCUCAAGCUUUUUAAAGUGACUGAUGCUUUGGAGUUACUUUGUCAGUCCUGAAUAGUAUAGGUAUGAAAGAGUAAUUAAACCCUUAAUAACUGUGUACUCAUGAAUUGUUGAAUAAGUGAUCUGAAUUAAAGUGAGCAUAAUGUGACAUUCAGUGAUGGAUGAAAAAUGAUGUAGACUACAGUUUGAGAGGAUGAGAAGAAUAGAUGACUACCAAGUUACUUUGGUUAAGUGCUUUUGACAGACAUGAGAUGAGUAGGUUCAGAGAGGAACAGUUCUUUCUUUGUACAUACUGAAUUUGAGCUGCCAUCUCGAUGUAGAUUUCCAGCAGGCAUUUGGAGAUUUGGGACAGAAGCUCAGGAGAGAAGAGCGGGCUACAUAUGUAGAUUUCGAUCACCUGCAUGGAACCCAUGAGAGCUGAUGAGGUCACUAAGUGUAGAAUUAAUAUCCAGGUGGGAGCCCUGAGCCCAUAGAGGAGCAGGGGUCAGAACAUGGAUCAUAGAACUGUUUGCUGAAAACCCAAAUAUACUAACUUAAACAUGGCAGAAAAGUCAAAGAAAGCUGAGAAAAGAUUAUUGGAUUUAACAAGAUACUUGUCUGUCUUAUCUCCCUCACCCUUUCCUAUUUUAUUAAAAGAACAUCAAGAUCCUCUAUUCUGAAAUGAUGUAAUUCCAUAGUGAGUGUUUUUAAUUGGUUCUAAAAUGGUGCUAUUAUAGGAUGAUUUAAUUUCUGUCUGCUUGAGAGAAUGGGAAGGAGCAUUCAACUUAACUUCUUCAAAGUUAAAUUCUCAACUUGAAACAGGAAGUUAGAUUAGCCAAGUAGCAUCAUGCUUACAUAGUAAAGAAUCUCAAAACAUGCUGUCUCUUGAAGUUAAUCAUGUAAGAAAACAUUGAAUUUGUUUUUGCACAAUUAAAAAGAUUGCUAAGUAAAUGGAAUAUUAUAAAAACAGGAGAAUGUCGUUAAGAAAACACUGCUUCCCUUUCUGCCCUCCUUCCCUUUGUCUGAUCUUUUGUGUACAACUGAUAUCACUUACGAUAUCACUAGUAGAUCUUUGAUGAGUUUCUAACAGGCAAUCCUUGUUUUUCCUCAAUUCUAGUUACUAGGUAACACUGGAUCUGUGAUUUUGUUAUUACAGGAAGCAUUUAUCUCAGCAUUACUUUGACUUUGAAGAUGAGAUGGAACAGUAAUCCAUACUGUUCAUAAAAGGUCACAAUAUCUCAUGAUCUUAUAAACAUUAUCAGAACAAAGGCGAUUUGCAAUAACCCACUUAAUUUCAUUAGUACUCAUGAAUGCACAAGGCAAGGUGAUAUGUGUUUUCUGAAGCAGGAUCUCAAACAAGAAGGGACAGAAUUCAUCUACUUUGAGCCAUUUAUUUUACCGAAGUGGAAGCUGAGGUGUUUCAGUCUACUUAAAUGGCUUUCCAAAGGUUAUCAAGUAAAUGCAGAAUCUAGACUCCUUUUGACUUAAUGUGUACCUCUCUCCAUCACAUUGUUAACUUCAUAACAAAGAGAAAAAUGAUUUUGACUAUCUUGUUUUAACAUACAUUUUCUAAAAUGUUUUAACAUACGUUUUCUAAACAUACAUUUUCUAAAAACGAAAACCUAGCAAAAUUAACCAACAUCAAAUCCUGACCAACACAGUGUCCUACACAGGUUAGUCCCCCUCCCCUGCAAAAGGCUGAAAGGAAUCUCACACACAUACACACGUACACACACACAUCCCAACAACUCAGUGAAUGUAUACUUUUAUUGUUCGGUUGUGUCCAUCCCUAUGGGCUAUACUAUCCAUAGUUUUCUUGGCAAAGAUACUGGGUAGUUUGUCAUUCCCUUCUCUAGUGAAUUAAGGCAAUAUUUAAGAUAUUGAAGAUGUAGGCACAGAUGUUAUGAAGAUCAAAGGAGAUAAAAUAUUUUACAAACCUUAAAGCUUUAAAUAAUUGAUAUUAGCUUACUGUUAUUCUCAUGAUGACUACAUUCCUUCUGAGCUUGAGCAAUGUUUGUAGAGCAAUGCAGGAGUGUGCUGGUAAAUAGCAAUCUGGCUCUCUGGAAGAAAAAAAUGCAUCAUUUUAUCUGCAUUAUCAACAUUUUCUUAAGUCUAAAGACUCACCAAAACAAAUCACUUGUAACACUUGACUUUCAAGAUCCUGAUAGACCCCUGGAUGGAGAGAUCUCUUAGAAUUUUAGUGGAAUAUUUUUCAUACUAUAAUUGUAUUUUCAUUUUAAAUCCAAACAGUGCCAGUUGAUAAAGAAUAAACCUAUUUAAGAAUUCUUUUAUUGCUUUUUUAAGGUAUUGUUUUCAGUUGUGUGUUACCUGAUCACAUCUCUUUGUGUAUGAUACUUCAUAAUACCAUCACAUUGCCUAUAUUGAUUUUGUUCAAAUUAUUAGGCUUUAAAAGAAAUUCUUUUCUCUCUAUCAAACUGCUUUCCAAUGGAAAACUAACCAGGGAAAUUAGAACAGGAGGAGUGCCUAUUUUGAAAACAGAGAAUGGAGAAUGUCCCAAACUCAGGUGAUAACUGCUUGAGAUUGAAGAGAUUUGAGAGAUUAUUGUAUUGUUUCACAUACUUGUUUUUCAGAUGACAAAACAGUGCCUGACAGGUUAUGACUUGCUCAGAGUCACAAAGCUAAUGAAUAUCAGAACUGUCAAUUCUCAGUAGGGCAUCACAGUUAGGAAUCUAAUGUUCAGUCUCUAAGGCAUCUAAAGAUUAGUUAGUCUAAUUCUAUAAAUCAGUAAUGAAGUCUCCAAAUUCACACAGGUUGUGAUAGAAGUGGGCUUUGAAUGUAGGCCCUUUAAUUCCAUUUUUGAUGCCCUCUCUACUACACCAUUAAUGAUUCAUUCUAUGAACUUAACUAUAGAGUUAGGAAACAGAUUUGAACUUUAUCUCAUUGCAGAAAGCUGAUUUUUAGAUAACCCCCUGAUAUGAAUUUUUUCCCCUCUCAAAUGGCCUUUUUAUAAAAGCAGGAAGAAGAAUGGAGGAAAGAAAUGCCCAAUUUUCAAAGGUUCCACUUAAUUGAAUUCAGACGGUACAUUUUGUUUUUCUUUCCUUUUAUUCAGAAUGUUUUUGAAUAGUAUUAUAUAUAAAAAAUACAAUUUUCAGGAAGCCUACUUGGACACAAUUCUCUUAGACUUGGUUCAGUGACAGAUGGUAAUGCACUCUGUUUUAUAACACACUUUAGGGAAGACUAGGUAAGUGAGAAGUUGGGUAGUUUAUAAGAUCAUGCUGAAGUAGGAGGCUGAAUUUGGAGUUAUAGAACUUGAAGAGGGAACCCCAAAACUCUGAAAAUCCUUAAAGGAGAAAAUCUCCUUCAACUCUGCCUCACUGAGGGGACUCCACCUGAAGCACAAACAGUUUCAUCUUUCUUAUCUGAGUGGGGUUGGCUCUGUCCCGAGACCCAUUGAAUUCAAUUCAAAUUCUUGCCCUAGCUGAAACCCAUCGAGGAGUCAACCUGGGACUCUACCCACAAGCCCCCUUCAGCUUGUAGCCAAAUCCCCUAUUGUAAAAGAGCCAAACUAAAAUCCUCUCUUUGCAAAGGUUCCAAACAUGCCAGCCCUAUGUUUGGCACACCAAGAAUUGCUGCCCAAUGGAAUACUGUUUCCAGUGCUAUCCUCUCUUUUCCCUCACCUAUUUCCUUAACUAAACUUUAACCUUCCAAUCCCCAUAAUAAACCUCUUUUAUCAAUCUAGAUUUUCGGGUUUGUAAAUUCCUUUACAGAGGAUUUUGUGCUGCCAUUAGAUCUUAUUUAACUCCCUGACCACCAGAAACCCUAAUUUCAUUUGGGUUCCCCAAAUCUAAACCUCAUCAGAACUAGGAUUAGAUUGUCUGGUACUACUUGAUUUUUGUCAAAACUACUCUGGGAUUCAGUUUCCUCAUUCUGUGUAUAAUUCUGAAUGAUAGGCUCACUCGACACAAAAACGUGGGCUCACUUUGGGGCUUUUUUCCCUUUGGGCUCUUCUGGCCCAACCCAGAUAAAAUCUAAGUGUCAAUAUCUGCUAUUAUUAGUUCUCCCUUAUAAGUAGUAAGGCUCAUAAGGCAGCAGACACUUUUUUGGGAGGAAGGGGCACAGUAAAGUGGAAAGGGAAGAAGCACCUACUAUGUGCCAGGCACUAUGCUAAGCACUGUCUACAUAUGAUUUAAUUUGAUUUUUAUAUGAAGUGUUAGUAUUCCCAUUUUACAGUUGAGGAAACUGAAGCAGAGAUUAAGUGAUUUCUAGGGUCAUUGUGUUAGUAUUUAGUACUGAAUUUGAACUUUGGUCUCUCUUAAUCCAGGUCUAGAACUUCUAUAUAUACCAUCUCUGAAGAACAUAGUAAAAGUCAUAAAAUUGAUGAAGCUUAGAAAUAAUGAACUUCCAAAUAUUUCCCAUACAUCAUAUUUAUGGAAAUCUUCCAUCUUUUCGUAGUGAUUUAUACAAUUCUCUAGACUUAAAGAACUACAUAGGGUAGGGACUCCCUAGGAAAGGGAGAUAAACUCGGACACAUGGAAAAUUUCCCCAUUAUGGCCAGGAGAGGGAAAUGGGACUUGAUGGAGUGGAGUAUGUCUAAAGAUGUCACCGCAUUUAAAGAAAUCAUUUGCAAUAAUGGCAUAGAGCAGAAGUCAAGCCAAGCAUUUAUUAGGUACCCAGUAUGUGUUAAGGGUGAAAAGAAAGGCAAAACCUGUCCCUGCCCUCAAAAGAGAUAAGUCAUUUAAUGAGGGAGCUAGCUAAGCCUUGAAGAGAAGCCUGGAGGUAGAGAAUUUCAGGCAUGAGGAAUAACUGGUGAAAAUAUGCAGGGUAAGCAGAGAUGAUGGAUCUUGUUUGAGGAAUAGCAAGGAGGCCAGAGUCACUAUUUUUGGGUAUAUGCAGAUGAGUAAGGUAUAAGAAGACUGGACCAUGUCAAUAACCAAAUUAACAAAAACCAUAUGAUCAUCUCAAUAGAUGCAGAAAAAGCAUUUGAUAAAAUCCAACAUCCAUUCCUAUUAAAAACACUUGAGAGUAUAGGAAUAAAUGGACUUUUCCUUAAAAUAAUCAGCAGCAUCUAUUUAAAACCAUCAGUAAGCAUCAUAUGUAAGGGAGACAAACUGCAACCAUUCCCAAUAAGAUCUGGAGGAAACAAGGUUGCCCACUAUCACCUUACUAUUUAAUAUUGUAUUAGAAACACUAGCUAUAGCAAUAAGAGCUGAGAAAGAGAUUAAAGGAAUAAGAAUAGGCAAUGAGGAAGCCAAAUUAUCACUCUUUGCCGAUGACAUGAUGGUAUACUUAGAGAACCCCAGAGAUUCUGCUAAAAAGUUAUUAGAAAUAAUCCAC
ensembl:lncRNA